CACACUUAAAUAGUCAUUUUAAUUAUACUGCCCUUAAAACCCCACAGACUAGUCACUGGAGGAUCCUAAGCAAGUCCCUGGCUGAGAGCCACCUAGGAUCUGGGAACAUUCUGCCUUGCAAACAUAGGCACCAAAGCCUGGACCCAGAGACACAUCGUCACAUGAAGCUGAGCUCCUAUGAUUCCGACAACACCCUGCACGUGCUUCACAGUACAAGCUGGGCUAAAAUAGUGGUCCCAGCCCCCACUGAGCUUGCAGUCUGAAGGCAGGAGGAGAACAGCCAUCGUGUCAAGAAAGUGAGAAGGUGCAGCUCAGGUCAGCGUGCUCUUGACUCUCAUGGACUUCAGUUCUCUUUGACAUGGAAUUGUGUAACGUCAUUAAGCUCAGGCACUGAGGGGAAAAAAAAAAAAAAAAGAGUUCUGAAACAUCAAGAGCUAACCAGUCUGAUGUACCUGUCUGCAUUUUGAGUAUCAUGCUCUUUAGAGUCAUGUUUUUCAGCCUUUUUCUUUUUUUUUCCCCUGACAAUUAGAACUUUUCCCUUUUCAUAAUGAGGCCUGAGCUUCUCACACUGUCAUCUGACUGAGGGUUUUAAGCAAAACACUGAACGUCACACUGCUCGCACUGAAGAUGCAAGGCAGUGCUAAAUUAUUAUUUAUAUUACUAUUAUACCCAGAGGCCCUCAACAGACCAAGGUCCCAUAGUCCUUUUCUCAAAGAGAUUACUGAUUAGAUAGAUAAGACAAAGGGGAAGAGAAACAGUCCUAGCCUUGCUUUCCAGAUGGAGAAGCACAGACAGCUGCAGGGGUUUUCAAAACUGCUUCCCAUCAGCUUUCCACGGCCACUGAAUGGGCCAGUGGGGUAAUGUUUGGGCAAAGCUGACUGCAUUUGCACUCCCGCUCCAAAGAUCUGCCCCUAAAGGUGCAUGUUAGUUUACCAUGUCUCCACCGGCAGGCAGUUUCAGUGGAUGGGGACCUGAAGGUAGACGGGGGAUGAUGGAUGGAGAAGUCUCCUGCACAGCCAUAGAUGACAUUGUGUGGCUGGAUGAAGCACGGGGUGAAGGGCUCCUCACAGCUGCAAUGCUUGGGCUUUGAGCCAGGAGGCUGCUCCUUGCCAUCAUGCAGGAGGAUAAUGCUGCCCCAUGGCAGAUACUGGCCUGUGGCCCCUGCUCCUCUGCCAGACACCUCCUGCAGGAUUAUAUAGGGAUGUGCCACCUCCAGCUGCAAUAUCUCCUGGCGGUGCCCUCACCACAGUGUGUGUCCAUCCUUGUUCCAUUGCUCCACUUGCUUCAGGUGAAGCCGCUCAUCCAUCUGAACAAUAUCUUCAACACAUAUAGAUGUGGAGAAAUUCAUUUGGGACACAACAAAUGCUGGUGUAUGUCAAAUCUCUUUGGCUGAAAAUUACUAGGAAAUAAACAGAAACCUGGGCCCCGAUUUUGAGAGAGUAUUUGUGUAUCUUGUACAUUUCCUCCCCUGAACGACAAAAUAUUUUUUCUGUCUUAAAAGUGGUGUUGUUACAGAGAGGAACCUACCAGAAAUUUUAUUUUUUUGGAAAAAAAAAAAACACCCCUUUUUCUGCAGCUCCAAACUGUUUCCUGCUAUAAACUUGAGUGUCUUACUGACUUAUUCCAUCUGAAUAUUUCUUCAGUAUCUGGUGGGUUGAAGUUUAUGGCUUGUGGGUUUUUUUCUCCCAGAAAAUGGUUGUCCAGAACAGAAGUCCCCAAAUGUGAAGUUUCCAGAAUGCAUGGAUAGAUUUUAGAAACCCCAAAGUGGCAGAUUAGCCAGAAGGUUCAAGACCUGCUCCCUUACACCGGCGCCUUCCUAAAGUCAGUGCCAGAGCUGGUGGGGUGCACAGGAUGGAGCUGAAGGUUAUAAAAUGCUACGGUAAGGGUUUAUCUAGGGUUAAGACAGCCACGGGGCUUCAGAUGAGGUUGAGUUUCUCCCAGGGUUUCUGUCUGGAAAUAUGUACUUUGGGAGCUCAGCUGCUCUCCCAACCCACAAAGCAUCCAUGUGGCACUUGUUCAGGAGUGCUGGCCAUGCAAGGCAUCAUGUAGAAUAUAAGUCACAGCAAUGCCUGAAAAACAGCUGUAACUGUUUCAGAAAAUACAGUAACAGCCUCAAAAUGCUAAAUCCUAGUGGGAUUUGCAUGAGUCCUAAAAGCUCACCAGGGAUUUCUGCAGGUUUUCUAUAGCUCACAGGACUUCUGCAUAGGUUAAACAAUCUGCAAUGAAUCUUUCUUUCCUUCCUGUCCCAGUCUCAUGGGGGCUGCCUGAAAAUUCUCCCUAGUAUGUGACUAUCUGCAAGUUAAUCCCAAAGCUCAGGGUCACUUAGAAAAUCUGCAUCGACAAUAGGAGAACAUAUAAAAUCUUCUUGGCCUUGAGGACGUUGUAAGCCCUGCUUCUAUUUGCUUAUAUCAAUUGCAGUCAAGAACAGUAAACAAAAAUAUGCAGUCUGUUUUAAGGGGACAUAACUUUUAUGUAACUGUUUUCAAAGUAAUUUAAUUAAUUCUCACAUAAAAGCAGGAACUUGAAGUCAAAGUUGUAAAUACCUUUCAGGAGGAAAGAUGUAGGAGAAUGAUGUAGUCUCAGGAGACAGGGAAUACAACCUUAGCUCCUCUGUGCACAUGCUUGUGCGUACCUUUGUACUUUUUCCUAUGGGAUGCUCAUUGCUUUCAGUAAGUGGAUAGUUAUUGAGCAUUACUUUUUAUUCCCCUUAUUUAGCACAUCUCCUAAAGCUGUAUAGAAGGCAUAGCAGCUAAAUGCUGCAUUUUAUACCAGAUAGAUGUUAAUGCCGUUUCCAUUUUAACUAGGACCCUUUGGUUGAAUAAUGCAAGCGUAUUCAUUCAGGAUUUACAAAGAACUGUCUAAUCAGGUUGAGCACCUUAUCAUUAUCAUUCCUGUUACUAAGCAAAUACGUUUUCCUCCCUGUCACAGUGUGAAUUUAUUACAAAAACUAUUAUGCUUCUAUUGCUGUAAGGAGUAAUUUUCAAUAGUUUGUCGUACUGAUGUAUAGCUAAGUCUCAUCUAAACUCUUAGCAGCUGCUGGGAAAUCAGAUGCUAUAUUGCUGACAAGUCAACAUAAGGUAUAGUAAGUGGCAAUGAGAGUUGACAUUGUGAUUUAAACACAGCAUCAAUUACUAAAACAAACAAAAUCUUGAAGGAGGCCUGUGUGCUUGAAAGCUUUUUUCCAGCUGUAUCAAUUAGUGCAUUAAAGGAUUUAAUCUUUCUGUCUGUGAUUUUGCCAUACCUGAGAAUAAAGUGGGAUACAAACAAUUGAAGUCAUGGUAAACUGGGUUCUCCUAUAUACUCCAUAAUCUAGAAAUAAGUAGGUGGAUAAGAUAAUGGGAGUUAGUAUCAAGAAUGAAUAAAGGACCUCCCUAGGACUACUAGCUGGUCCUGACUGGUCCUAACAAAAAUAAAAGUUUCAUCAAGUGCCAGGGAAUAAACAAAAAUGGCCAAGGGAUGUUUAUGGGCAGCCUAAGUCUACCUUGCAAGUCAGGCCUGUAAAUCAGGUUAGUCUGUGCCGCUGUGUGACGCCUGCAGUCCAGCACGGACAGCUGGGAAGCUACUUGGAUGGAUACUGUGGGAAGCCUAAGCAAACACUACAAACAUGUUGUUGUAGUCAGGAAGUGUCAGCUCAUAGAAAAUCAAUAGUAAACACUAAUCAGAAUUAAAAUAUUAUAAGGGAAUUUAAAGCAGAAAUAUUGCAUCAUAUUUCAGGUCUAUAAAAUAAACUGUGUCUCAGAUGUACAUCCAUCGUCGUGCUACAGACCCAAGGGACUCCAGCUUGAUCAUGCAGUUAAAAAUCACUCGUGUGCUCUGAAACCACCUAGAUCCAAGCUCUUCUAUCAUGUUUUUAAUUCAGCUCAUGCCAGUUGCCACAGAAAUGAUGAUGGGCAGGAGCAAGGUGCAGAGUGCAUGGCAGGGGCCAGGUCCCGGCUGCAGCCCUUGUGGGGAGCUUGGGGUAAAUCUGCCCCUCCGCAUUGUCAGGACCAUGGCUUAGAUUGGCUUGAUAAAAGCUCCCUGUGGUUGUAACUGUUGUAAUUAUUUCUUUGUCUUCACAUGGUUCCUCUCCUCAGCCCCUCUCAGUAUUUUCUUCACAGCCAUAAGCAGCAGAAGUAUUUUUCAGUUAGUGCUGAAGAUCUAGGCCAUGGUUUGUGGCAAGAAAUGGAAAAUCUCUGUGGUUUUGAAGCACACGAAGUCUUGUGCACGAAAGGCAAUCCACCAUCAAGACCUCUCUCAUUAUAGCCAUUUCCAUAUAAAUCACAGAAUUUGAAUUUCCCAUCUUCGCAUACACUAGUAGCAGUUCUGAGCAUAUCUCAGCUGGUAUUCAUUCAUAGGCAAAAGACAUGAGAGUUUUUUUACAUUAUCUGCCAGUACCUCUGCAGACCUGUGGAGUGCUUCAUCCUUACAAGCUGGGGAGAGCAUAACACCAACAGCACACUUCCUUCCCUACUACCUUGGGUUGGAUAAUAUCAGUAAAUCUGAGAGAAAAUAAAUUUACUUUCAUUACUAAGAGGCUUACAAAAUAAUCUGUUUUUUAAGGGAAGGAGGUGAGAUGGAGAAGCAAAAGGCAAAGUGCUCAGACAUGGGCACUUCAGUUUGUAGUGCGAGAACUGCACUGAACCGCCUAAGUUUACAUGCUGAGGACAGGCUAAAUAAAGGUCUAUGGCAGAGGUUGGAAUAAGAAUCGACUCCUAUGGUGCUUGUUGUCAAUCCCUUUAUUUGCUUGACAUUAUUACAUAUUACUUUUCAUUGAAUUAAGUUAAAAAUGAAAAAAAGUGGUUGAAAUAAUGGGGUCUGUGCAAUCACAUUCUAAAGACUAAUAUAAUUUUACAUUGCAGUACAAAAGAGCCACAGAAGCAGAGAGCACUUGCUUCAAGUGAUUAGUGAUGUUAUUACAGGUGUCUAUGGGUAGGUAUGUGUAUAUUUAGGGUGAUGAGUGGAGAGAUACAAAGAUAACAAGUGUGUGUACUUCAUGCUUAACUUCCUGUACUUUUUUUACUUGGAAUUUCUUGAAAGCCUGUCUCUGUGUAUUUCAUUAUGUUGGAAAGCAAGCGAAAAGCUGACAGGCACUUUGAUGAAGUGUCCGCAGAGCAAAUACUGAGCACCCUGAAAAUCUUGUGGUUGGAUUUUGCUCUUCACAGUUUCAGCCUCCAGCACAGAGCUUGCCUGCCAACUGUGAUUAGGAAAGUGUCAUCAAGCAGGUCUGCCUGGACUCUUCUCCUGCUUCUGCUCUGUGCAGGUUUAGCUGCUUUCAGAGCCAGCACAAUUGAUGUUGCUAUCUCUCCUGAACAAAUUAGUUCACUUCCUUCUUUAAAAUAAACUUGGUACUGCGACAGUGGUAUUGCCAAAUGGCUCGCAGCCUCUACCCCAACUGUCACAGCUUGCAGUACAUACAGAUCGUGAUUUUGCUGCAGGGUUUUGUCCUGUAUCUUGCAGUGGCUCUGGAAAGUCCUGCUGACCUCAGCAGGGAUCAGAUUUGGUGGCACAGUUGCUGUGUGAAGCAAAGGAAGCAGCGGUGGGAUUUAGAAAUGGUACUCAGCCCAUUCUCUGCCACUCACGUCCACUUUGAGGAUGGCAGCCGUCAUUUGGGCUCCUUCAGCAGGAAUGCAAUAACAGGAUUAAUUCCUGUUAAUUGUUGCUUAACUAUUAUGGUUAAGAUUAUUAUUACUUACAACUGUCAUUAGAUCAAAAGUGAAUGUGCUACUCAAAUCCCAUGCAGAGGCUAUUAAAAUGAAGGACAGGACUCAGUCAUCAGUUAUGCUGCGUAAUCUCCCUGGUGCUGACGAGUUCAUACAGGUGUGCACAAAGGCUCCCUGAUUAGAACAGGGAAAAAGAAGGUCUCGCUGUUCCAGGUAACAAUGUGUCAUUUAACCAGACAAAUAUUGAUUGUAUUCUAUUUUAGGGAUUUACCAAGAAAAAAACCCCAAAUGAUGCCUAGGCUUGUUCUUCAAAACUGAAAAUGGGAAAAGAUUGCUGAGCUUUCCUCUUAUUCUUUCCCUUCGUUAGUUGGACUAGUGCAGCAGUCAGUGAUGAAAGGGGUACAAUAGCUGAAUAAAUCUUUAUAGUCACCUCUUCUAAAAUCUUUGGCUUUACAUAGCAAAGUCACUUCCUCUGUGCCAUCUGGAAUCUGUACAAAAAUAGUCCAUAAAAGAACUUUACUUUGCAAUUUAGAGUUGCAUGCACUUUAGAGUACAAGGAAGACAAGUCGUACAGAAUAGUUGCACAGUUGCACAGAGAAUCUGUUUUUAAAGGGCUGUCUUUAAUUUUUAAACACAUCUUUUAACAUCUCCUGGACCACACUGGUAUUUUUUGUCCUUAGAAGCACGGGUUAGCAUUAGAUUGAAUAUAUGAAGAAAUAAGAACAAAUUAAGAUGAUAAUAAAACUUCCAGGAUUUUUGUAGGAAGUCAGUAGGGUCAAGGAGAAGCUUUUGUGCACAGCUGUACAUUCAAUCUGCUGUUACUAUCUCAGAGGUAUGGGGAAGUCUGUGGGUAGGCUCUGCCACUGCUACUCAAGGCCAGGAGUACCCAGUCUCCCAGGCGGCUUUGUCAGUGUAGCUGGAGCAAUGUUGUAUCAACCUUAGUCACUUCAGUUUCAACCCAUUUUCAGAGAGAUGGGUGCCUGGUACUGCCAUUUGAGAUGCUCUCCAGUUUUCUAUAGCAGCUCUUCCCCUAAAUCCUAUGUCCUACCUGCUGGCCCCAGGGAUGUGCUGGGUACCCUAGCCCAUGGAAGCAAACACCUGCAGUUGGGGACACGACCAUGCCUGUGUGCCAGGAGCUGUUUGUGUUCCAACAGAGGAGCUGGAGGAAUGACUCUUCUGGAGACUGCCAGUCUUUUGGAGGAUUAAUGCUAUUUAGGGAGUGUUCCAGAAUAACAGGUCAUCCUGCUCUCUGUGCUCCAACUGAUUGCCACACCAGCAGGCAGAGGCUGCCUGGGUGGAAGGGCUGAGCCAGUCUGGUUGCCACAGAAGGGAAGGGGAGUUUCUACUCUCCUACUGGUCAUGCACUCCCCCUGCCUACCCACCCCUGGCACUCCCCUGACCCUUCCAUCAGCUAAUUCAGCUCACUACAAUGAGUGGCAUUUUAAAUUGUGCAGAUGUUGGGAAAGGGAUAAGAAUUACCUUCCCAUAGGAAGAUACAGAAAUAUACCGCUGUUUCUGAUCCUAUACUCCUUUUCCCAGUCGUUUCCCUCUCCAUUUUCAAGGACAACCCAAAGAAGAGAGGGGACCAUGUGCUCUGAACUAGAAGGCAAAGAUCGGGGACAAAAAUACUCUCCGUGAAGAGAGAAAGGAAACCAAAGGAAAAGAGGAAUUGUUCUUGGGAGAGUGUUAAAGGACUAUAUACAUUCAACUUUGUUACCAUUAAUUUUGUGUAUAGAAACACUUAAUGAAAGAAUAAUUUUCUGU